UGUACACGCUGUGACUAGCAUAUCAAUAAGCGGAGGAAAAGAAACUAACAAGGAUUCCCCUAGUAACGGCGAGUGAAGCGGGAAGAGCUCAAAUUUGAAAUCUUAAAGGGUUUCCCUUUACGAAUUGUAGUUUAAAGAAGUGUUUUCUGUUGAGGUUUUGGUAAAAGUUCUUUGGAAUAGGACAUCAUAGAGGGUGAGAAUCCCGUAUUUGACCUUUACUUUCAACUUUGUGAUACACUUUCAAAGAGUCGGAUUGUUUGGGAAUGCAGUCCAAAAUGGGUGGUAAAUUUCAUCUAAAGCUAAAUAUUGGCGAGAGACCGAUAGCGAACAAGUACCGUGAGGGAAAGAUGAAAAGAACUUUGAAAAGAGAGUUAAACAGUACGUGAAAUUGUCAAAAGGGAAGCGUUUGACACCAGUGUUGUUUUCCUGAAAAUCAAUUAAAGAACUGUUUAUGCUAAGCUGUUUAGACUUUAUCAGCUAACUGUUUAGUUUUGAGCUUUUCUUUAAUGCACUUUUCAGUUAACAAGUCAACAUCAAUUUCUUUUGCUGUAAAAAAGCUUGAGGAAGGUGGCUUGAGAUUCGUCUUAAGUGUUUAUAGCCUCUUGCCUAUGCAGUCGGAGAGAUUGAGGUCUGCAGCGUAGAUCCUUCGGGGCUAAAUGCAUUUGUGCUAAGUUAUAGCAUUUUAUAGACAACUUGUUGACUAUGAUUUGUCUUGUAGCUUACUCGCUUAUGUUAUUUUACCUACGCUUAGGAUGUUGAGUCGUAGAGCACGCAG
rnacentral:rRNA from 1 species